GGCCUGAUGGUCUAGUAGUAUGAUUCCUUGUUAGGGUUAAUCACUGGACAGUGAUUCACAUUCGAGGAGGUCCCGGGUUCAAUUCCCGGUUAGGCCC